rnacentral:rRNA from 1 species
AUGGAAUCCAGCGACCCCAGCUCCGCCGCAGUAAGUAAGACACAAGAAAUAUCUGUACCACCUGUGGAGGGUGUAGCUGGAGGAGGCACUAGUUAUGGCUGGGUGGAUGGAGGCUUGCAGGGGUCGCAUCUAGGUUCUAGUGUGAUUGACCCUACUAAGGUGCACUCGGCAGAUCUUUUGCAUGUUUGGUCUAUGCCCAGCACAGCAAAUGUUAGCCAACAAGAAGCACCUCGACCUCUAGAACAUGUUAACCUUUUGGCAGCAAGAAAUGAAAGGGAAAGUUUACAAAUCGCGUUACGUCCAAAAGUUUCAUGGGCCAGUUCAGGUAUUGCAGGGCCUGUGCAGAUUCAGUGCACUGAUCUAUGCUCAUCCUCUGGAGGAAGGUUAGUGGUUGGUCAAUCUAUAACGUUGCGACGUGUGGUGCCUAUAUUAGGUGUACCAGAUGCCCUUGUGCCUAUUGAUCCUUCCAGUCCACAAAUAAACCUACUUCCUGGGGAGACAACUGCAGUAUGGGUCUCACUAAAUGUUCCUUGUGGGCAAGAGCCUGGUCUAUAUGAAGGAGAAAUAUGUAUUACUGCUAUGAGGACAGACUCAGAUUCCAAGGCAGACUCGUUACCAAAAUCUGAGAGAUACCAGCUGUAUAAAGAAUUAAAGACUUGUCUUGGUAUCACUGAAUCCAGAGACCACUCACCGUCAGAGGAAAUGAUACUAAGAUUAUCAUCAACUUCAACCACACUGAGGAGGAUGCUAGUACUUCCAGCAUUCCAGGACUGCCAUGAGAAUAAUGGAUUAGGGGACAUGAUGGAUGAAGAUGUUAUGAACAAUGUUGCUGUUCGUGUCAAGUUAAGCUUGACUGUGUGGGAUUUCACUCUCCCACUGACACCUUCCUUACCUGCUGUUUUUGGUAUAUCUGAAACUGUCAUUGAAGACCGGUUUUGUUUGGAGCAUGGCACCAAAGGGUGGUAUGAUGCACUGGAUCAUCACUUCAGGUGGCUCCUCCAGUACAGAAUCAGUCCAUUUUUCUGCAGAUGGGGCGAUAGCAUGCGUAUUCUUGCGUACACAUGCCCCUGGCCUGCUGAUCAUCCAAAGGCUAAUGAAUAUUACUCUGAUCCAAGACUCGCAGCAUAUGCUGUACCGUACGCGCCUAUUCUGUCAUGUACCGAUGCAGCAAAAAAUUCUCUGCGAAGAGAGGUUGAAAUCUUGAAAACAGAGGCUCAUUGGUCGAAAGCUUACUUCUACUUGUGGGAUGAGCCAUUGAAUAUGGAGCAGUACGAAGUGAUUCGCAACAUCUCUAACGAGUUAAGGACAUACACACCCGAUGUCCAAGUGGUUCUGAACUGGCUCCUUCUACGUUUGAGGCUUUUGCGAAAGUUCCAAAUGUUCUACGUCCGCAUACACAAAUCUUUUGCACUAGGACUGAAGAACCAUUUCCAUCACUUAUUUUUUUUCUUAUACAGCGAAUGGGUUCUUGGCACAAGAGAGGACUUAGUGAAGGAUAUUAUUGCUGAACUACGACCUGACCUUGGUGAAGAGUGGUGGACAUAUGUUUGUAUGGGGCCUUCUGAUCCUCAACCAAAUUGGCACCUUGGGAUGCGCGGAACUCAGCAUCGGGCAGUGAUGUGGAGAGCAUGGAAGGAGGGUGGCACAGGAUUUCUUUACUGGGGUACCAACUGCUACGAGAAGGCUAUGAUUCCAAGUGCCGAGAUCUGUUUCCGACGCGGCCUUCCUCCAGGCGACGGGGUUCUGUUUUACCCUGGCGAGGUGUUUUCUUCGUCAAAGGAACCAGUUGCGUCCCUCAGGAUUGAACGCAUUCUCAGUGGCAUGCAGGACAUUGAAUACUUGAACCUUUACUCCUCAAAGCACGGCAGGGAGGAGGCCUUGGCCCUCCUGGAGAAGACUGGCGCGUAUCUUGGCCCGGAUCGCUAUGCACAUGAUCAUGGGCCAGUUGAUGUGAUGCGCGGUGAGGUAUACCGCACCUGCAGAUCUUAG